UACGUAGGGUGCAAGCGUUGUCCGGAAUUAUUGGGCGUAAAGAGCUCGUAGGCGGUUUGUCGCGUCUGCUGUGAAAACGCGAGGCUCAACCUCGCGCCUGCAGUGGGUACGGGCAGACUGGAGUGCGGUAGGGGGAGAUUGGAAUUCCUGGUGUAGCGGUGGAAUGCGCAGAUAUCAGGAGGAACACCGAUGGCGAAGGCAGAUCUCUGGGCCGUAACUGACGCUGAGGAGCGAAAGCAUGGGGAGCGAACAGG
rnacentral:rRNA from 1 species